GCGAGAGCAAAAACGGAAAUGGAUAGUUAACAGGGUGGCCGUGUGUACAUUGGGACGUUUUCCAUACAUUUUUUAGCACUGUUAUUUACCGCUAAAGAACGCCAUUUUUCAUUAGCGCUAACAAUUUUAUUUUCGGCCAAACGUCCCCUUUGUGUUGUCAUGUCAUUUUGACUUUGACGUUUGAUUGUUUACAAAUUUUUGCGAUUUGUUACGGUCGGUUCGUUUAACGUAAAAAAUAAUUUUAUUCAUCUGUAUAUUGUUUUAAAAUUAUUAAACCUACAUAUAAUGAGUUCGCAAACUCCACUUUUGCGUGAUGUGUGUCGUAUAUGCUUACAAACUUCAUUAGCUUCUGUAAAUUUAUUUGAUGCUACUCCUGAAUCUAAAGAUAUUUUGGAAAAGGUUUAUUUAUGUUUCCAGAUUAUAAUAUAUUCAGAAAGGUAUUUACCUUAUUCGAUUUGUAGUAAUUGUAUUGACGAAUUAAAUGCAGCUAAUAAUUUUAGAUUGAAGUGUGUAUCAUUUGAUGAAAGAUUUGCUGCUAACACCUACAAAGUUAAAGAAGACUGUGAUUUCAAGGAAAUACCAAAGUUAAAUAAUAUCAAAGAAUCGGAUAAUUCACAUGAAUCAGAUGAAUACACUUCAAACACCAGUGAAGUAAAAAAAUGUGAUGAUAAUGAUUCUCAAAGAGGUACACUGAAUCAGUUCGUUUGCAGUGUAUGUGGUAAAGUUCUUAAGACUAGAUCAUCACUCAUGAAACAUGUUGCGUCAAUGCAUCAAAAAAGAAAACAUAUUGGUGAUGUCUCAGGUUUUAGUUCUACUCGUCGUUAUCAUUGUACAAGUUGUUCAUACUCAACACCCCAUAGCCAAACGUUGGUAAACCACAUGAGAAGGCAUGAUGGAGAACGCCCAUAUCAUUGUCAAUGUGGCAAAAGAUUUACUCAGGCUGCCAGUCUUUCCGCGCAUCAGAAAACACAUAGCUCUACUACAUAUUUUACAUGUUCAGUAUGUGGGAAACAAUUUAAACAUAGUUAUACUUUGAAAAAGCAUUCACAAGUUCAUGAAAACAGUAAAUUAGCCUGCAACAUCUGUCACAAACUUUUGAAAUCUAAGCAGUCUUUGCAAGACCAUAUGUAUCGGCAUUAUAAUAUUCGUAACUAUAACUGUGAAGAUUGUGGUGAUACAUUUGUAACAUCAUCAGAACUGCUCAGUCACAGGAAAAAACAUAAUAUAGAAAAGAGAGUAGAAUGUUAUUUUUGUGGAUAUAAAACCCACACAAAGAAAAGUUUGAUUCUACAUUUGAAAAGACAUAUGGGUGAUAAACAAUUCAAGUGUGAAUUGUGUGACUUGUCCUUUUAUACAAGAGGUGAUGUGAAACGUCACCAUCGUGUGCACACUCGUGAAAAGCCUUUUGGAUGUCCUACAUGUACGCAAAAGUUUACUUAUAGCACAAGUUUAAAUAAGCACAUGCUGACAGUGCAUGGUGUCCUUUACAAAUGGGCUGACUUCAAACACAAGGACAUACAAAAACUUAAUAAGACAGAUGACUCAGAGGAUAAAAAAUAAAACUAUACAAUAUAA